rnacentral:misc_RNA from 1 species
AACGCACAUUGCGCCCGCUAGUAUUCUGGCGGGCAUGCCUGUUCGAGCGUCAUUUCAACCCUCGAGCCCCUCUGGGCUUGGUGUUGGGGAUCGGCCGCCGCCUCUGGCUGGCCGGCCCCGAAAUACAGUGGCGGUCCCGCCGCAGCGUCCUCUGCGUAGUAGCACACACCUCGCACUGGAACGCGGCGCGGCCACGCCGUAAAGCAAAGGGGGCGCAAGCCUCCUUUCUCUUUCAAGGUUGACCUCGGAUCAGGUAGGAAUACCCGCUGAACUUAA